UAACUGUACAUUAGUAGCUUGGUACCUUACAAUAAAUGUUAAAACAUUGCACAGUUUUGUGAAAUUCUAAUGUACUUAAUCUGAUUUGAUUCUAGCAGAGGGUUUCACCAUGGACACGUUUGUCACAGAGACGUUGACUGCAUGGCAGCUUGAGAACUUGAUUGACACAUUUAAAGGCCAUCCACAGACACAAAGAAAGCCCUUGCCGUGGCAUUGGUGUAUGAAUUCCCUUGCCUUUUGGAUGGUACAGGCAGUGGCUAUGGAGCUUGGUACACACCUGGCCGAAAUCACAAACCUGCUACAGGUUUCCUGGAGGAGCGCUUGAGGAACGUCAGGAAGCGCAUGAGAAUGCUGAAACGACCACGCCACCAAGAACAACAGAAGAAACAGACCGUCCCUAGUACACCAGAUAUCACAAGACUUCCAGCAGCUUCAUCCAGAGGCAGUGGGAAAACUGUUUCAGAACUGGGCUACUAUGAGUGACCAAAUCCUUACAUAUGCCCAGCGAGAGGGAAAACUGCCCUUGGUGUUUGAUGACAUGACACCAGACCGAGCAUUGAAAGUCCUGCCGAUUCUGCUUCCUCCAUCGGUCUACAGGAUUGGAGGAAAAGUCCACAGACCCACCAUAGAGGAGUCCCGCAAGUUCUUCA